CUAACGAUACUUCUGUAAUUCGCAGCCCGGCCACAAAGAAGGCGGGGACGUUCAAUUCCUAUGG
rnacentral:ncRNA from 1 species